rnacentral:rRNA from 1 species
AUUGAACGCUGGCGGCAUGCUUUACACAUGCAAGUCGAACGGCAGCGCGGGCUUCGGCCUGGCGGCGAGUGGCGAACGGGUGAGUAAUGCAUCGGAACGUGCCCAGUAGUGGGGGAUAGCCCGGCGAAAGCCGGAUUAAUACCGCAUACGACCUGAGGGUGAAAGCGGGGGACCGAAAGGCCUCGCGCUAUUGGAGCGGCCGAUGUCGGAUUAGCUAGUUGGUGGGGUAAAGGCUUACCAAGGCGACGAUCCGUAGCUGGUCGGAGAGGACGACCAGCCACACUGGGACUGAGACCCGGCCCAGACUCCUACGGGAGGCAGCAGUGGGGAAUUUUGGACAAUGGGGGCAACCCUGAUCCAGCCAUGCCGCGUGCGGGAAGAAGGCCUUCGGGUUGUAAACCGCUUUUGUUCGGGAAGAAAUCCUCUGGGCUAAUACCCCGGGGGGAUGACGGUACCGGAAGAAUAAGCACCGGCUAACUACGUG